GAAUGUUCUGCUAUCACUCUUGGGAUGGACCUGCGGUGCAUUAGCUAGUUGGGUAGGGGUAACGGGCCUACCAAGGCGAUGAUACAUAGCCCGAGUUGAGAGACUGAUCGGGCCACAUUGGGACUGAGACACGGGCCCAAACUCCUACGGGAGGCAGCAGUAGGGGAAUCUUCCACAAUGGACGCAAAGUCUAAUGGAGCAAACGCCGCGUGAGUGAAGAAGGGUUUCGGCUCGUAAAAAGCUCUGUUGUUGGUGAAGAAGGACAGGGGUAGUAACUGACCCUUUGUUUGACGGUAAUCAAUUAGAAAGUCACGGGCUAACUACGUGCCAGCAGCCGCGGUAAAU
rnacentral:rRNA from 1 species